rnacentral:rRNA from 1 species
UAGGGAAUCUUCGGCAAUGGACGAAAGUCUGACCGAGCAACGCCGCGUGAGUGAAGAAGGUUUUCGGAUCGUAAAACUCUGUUGUUAGAGAAGAACAAGGACGUUAGUAACUGAACGUCCCCUGACGGUAUCUAACCAGAAAGCCACGGCUAACUACGUGCCAGCAGCCGCGGUAAUACGUAGGUGGCAAGCGUUGUCCGGAUUUAUUGGGCGUAAAGCGAGCGCAGGCGGUUUCUUAAGUCUGAUGUGAAAGCCCCCGGCUCAACCGGGGAGGGUCAUUGGAAACUGGGAGACUUGAGUGCAGAAGAGGAGAGUGGAAUUCCAUGUGUAGCGGUGAAAUGCGUAGAUAUAUGGAGGAACACCAGUGACGAAGGCGGCUCUCUGGACUGUAACUGACGCUGAGGCUCGAAAGCGUGGGGAGCAAACAGG